GUACUCUGGCUCAGGCAGUACAUCAACUAAAAUUGAGCGCAUAUAGAGAAGAUUAGCAUGGCCCCUUUAAGCAAAGGAUGACACGCAAAAUCGCGGAAGGCCUCUUUCUU